UACGGGGGGGGCAAGCGUUGUUCGGAAUUACUGGGCGUAAAGGGCUCGUAGGCGGCCAACUAAGUCAGACGUGAAAUCCCCAGGCUCAACCUGGGAACUGCGUCUGAUACUGGAUGGCUUGAAUUCGGGAGAGGGAUGCAGAAUUCCAGGUGUAGCGGUGAAAUGCGUAGAGAUGUGGAGGAACACCGAUGGCGAAGGCAGCCCCCUGGGCCGAUACUGACGCUCAGGCACGAAAGCGUGGGGAGCAAACAGG
rnacentral:rRNA from 1 species